UACGAAGGGGGCUAGCGUUGCUCGGAUUUACUGGGCGUAAAGGGCGCGUAGGCGGUCGUGACAAGUCACUUGUGAAAUCUCUGAGCUUAACUCAGAACGGCCAAGUGAUACUGCAGUGCUAGAGUGUGGAAGGGGCAAUCGGAAUUCUUGGUGUAGCGGUGAAAUGCGUAGAUAUCAAGAGGAACACCUGAGGUGAAGACGGGUUGCUGGGCCAACACUGACGCUGAUGCGCGAAAGCCAGGGGAGCAAACGGG
rnacentral:rRNA from 1 species